rnacentral:tRNA from 1 species
CGUAGCCCGGCCAUACUUCGCACUCUUAAUGCCCAGGUCGCGGGUUCGAGUCCCGCCGGAAGUGGCCGCCA